GACGAACGCUGGCGGCGUGCUUAACACAUGCAAGUCGAACGGAAAGGCCCUGCUUUUGUGGGGUGCUCGAGUGGCGAACGGGUGAGUAACACGUGAGUAACCUGCCCUUGACUUUGGGAUAACUUCAGGAAACUGGGGCUAAUACCGGAUAGGAGCUCCUGCUGCAUGGUGGGGGUUGGAAAGUUUCGGCGGUUGGGGAUGGACUCGCGGCUUAUCAGCUUGUUGGUGGGGUAGUGGCUUACCAAGGCUUUGACGGGUAGCCGGCCUGAGAGGGUGACCGGGCACCUUGGGACUGAGAUACGGCCCAGACUCCUACGGGAGGCAGCAGUGGGGAAUCUUGCACAAUGGGCGGAAGCCUGAUGCAGAAACGCCGCGUGCGGGAUGACGGCCUUCGGGUUGUAAACCGCUUUCGCCUGUGACGAAGCGUGAGUGACGGUAAUGGGUGAAGAAGCACCGGCUAACUACGUG
rnacentral:rRNA from 1 species